rnacentral:rRNA from 1 species
GAUGAACGCUGGCGGCGUGCUUAACACAUGCAAGUCGAACGGAAAGGCCAGUGCUUGCACUGGUACUCGAGUGGCGAACGGGUGAGUAACACGUGGGUGAUCUGCCCUGUACUUCGGGAUAAGCUUGGGAAACUGGGUCUAAUACCGGAUAGGACAACUUUUUGGAUAUUGUUGUGGAAAGCUUUUGCGGUAUGGGAUGAGCUCGCGGCCUAUCAGCUUGUUGGUGGGGUAAUGGCCUAACAAGGCGUCGACGGGUAGCCGGCCUGAGAGAGUGUACGGCCACAUUGGGACUGAGAGACGGCCCAGACUCCUACGGGAGGCAGCAGUGGGGAAUAUUGCACAAUGGGCGCAAGCCUGAUGCAGCGACGCCGCGUGGGGGAUGAAGGCCUUCGGGUUGUAAACUCCUUUCGCUAGGGACGAAGCUUUUUUGUGACGGUACCUGGAGAAGAAGCACCGGCUAACUACGUG